rnacentral:rRNA from 1 species
GGUCAAGUUAUUAAGGGUGCAGGGCGGAUGCCUUGGCACUAGGAGCCGAUGAAGGACGUGAUAAGCUGCGAUAAGCUUCGGGGAGUUGCACGUAAACUUUGAUCCGAAGAUUUCCGAAUGAGGAAACUCACUUAGAGUAAUGUCUAAGUAUCAUUAAGUGAAUACAUAGCUUAAUGAGGGGAACUCAGGGAACUGAAACAUCUAAGUACCUGAAGGAAGAGAAAGAAAUUCGAUUCCGUAAGUAGCGGCGAGCGAACGCGGAUUAGCCCAAACCAAUAAAGUUUUCU